CCUACGGGCGGCAGCAGUGAGGAAUAUUGGUCAAUGGGCGCGAGCCUGAACCAGCCAAGUAGCGUGAAGGAUGACUGCCCUACGGGUUGUAAACUUCUGUUAUAAAGGAAGAAAGUGAGGCACGUGUGCCUUUUUGUAUGUACUUUAUGAAUAAGGAUCGGCUAACUCCGUGCCAGCAGCCGCGGGAAUACGGAGGAGCCGAGCGUUAGCCGGAUUUAUUGGGUUUAAAGGGAGCGUAGAUGGGUUGUUAAGUCAGUUGUGAAAGUUAGCGGCUCAACCGUGAGAUUGCAAUUGAUACUGGGUGGCUGGAGGGCGGAUGAGGAGGGAGGAAUGUGUGGUGUAGCGGUGAAAUGCAUAGAUAUCAGACAGAACACCGAUUGCGAAGGCGUCUCACGAGACCGCGAUUGACGCUGAUGCGCGAAAGCGUGGGUAUCAAACAGGAUUAGAUACCCUUGUAGUC
rnacentral:rRNA from 1 species